rnacentral:rRNA from 1 species
UUUGACCUCAAAUCAGGCAGGACUACCCGCUGAACUUAAGCAUAUCAAUAAGCGGAGGAAAAGAAACUAACAAGGAUUCCCCUAGUAACGGCGAGUGAAGAGGGAAAAGCUCAAAUUUAAAAUCUGGCGGUCUACGGCCGUCCGAGUUGUAAUCUAGAGAAGUGUUUUCCGCGCUGGACCGUGUACAAGUCCUUUGGAACAAGGCGUCAUAGAGGGUGAGAAUCCCGUCUACGACACGGACUGCCAAGCGCUUUGUGAUACACUCUCAACGAGUCGAGUUGUUUGGGAAUGCAGCUCAAAAUGGGUGGUAAAUUCCAUCUAAAGCUAAAUAUUGGCGAAAGACCGAUAGCGAACAAGUACCGUGAGGGAAAGAUGAAAAGCACUUUGGAAAGAGAGUUAAACAGUACGUGAAAUUGUUGAAAGGGAAACGCUUGAAGUCAGUCGCGUCUUCAGAAAUUCAGCUAGGCUUCUGCCUAGUGUACUUUUCUGUGGGACGGGCCAGCAUCAGUUUUGGCUGCCAGAAAAAGGUCGGAGGAAGGUGGCACCUCCGGGUGUGUUAUAGCCUCUGAUCGUAUGUGGCAGCCGGGAUUGAGGACCGCAGCACGCCUUUAUGGCCGGGGUUCGCCCACGUAACGUGCUUAGGAUGCUGGCGUAAUGGCUUUAAACGACCCGUCUUGAAACACGGACCAAGGAGUCUAACAUGCCUGCGAGUAUUUGGGUGGCAAACCCAUAUGCGGAAUGAAAGUGAACAGUUGGGACUUCUGUCAUGGAAGGCACCGACGCCCGGACCAGACCUAUUGUGACGGAUCCGAGGUAGAGCAUGUAUGUUGGGACCCGAAAGAUGGUGAACUAUGCCUGAGUAGGGUGAAGCCAGAGGAAACUCUGGUGGAGGCUCGUAGCGAUUCUGACGUGCAAAUCGAUCGUCGAACUUGGGUAUAGGGGCGAAAGACUAAUCGAAC